rnacentral:rRNA from 1 species
AUUGAACGCUGGCGGCAGGCCUAACACAUGCAAGUCGAGCGGAUGAAGGGAGCUUGCUCCUGGAUUCAGCGGCGGACGGGUGAGUAAUGCCUAGGAAUCUGCCUGGUAGUGGGGGAUAACGUCCGGAAACGGGCGCUAAUACCGCAUACGUCCUGAUGGAGAAAGUGGGGGAUCUUCGGACCUCACGCUAUCAGAUGAGCCUAGGUCGGAUUAGCUAGUUGGUGGGGUAAAGGCCUACCAAGGCGACGAUCCGUAACUGGUCUGAGAGGAUGAUCAGUCACACUGGAACUGAGACACGGUCCAGACUCCUACGGGAGGCAGCAGUGGGGAAUAUUGGACAAAGGGCGAAAGCCUGAUCCAGCCAUGCCGCGUGUGUGAAGAAGGUCUUCGGAUUGUAAAGCACUUUAAGUUGGGAGGAAGGGCAGUAAGUUAAUACCUUGCUGUUUUGACGUUACCAACAGAAUAAGCACCGGCUAACUUCGUG